UACGGAGGGUGCAAGCGUUGUCCGGAUUUAUUGGGUUUAAAGGGUGCGUAGGCGGCUUUUUAAGUCAGCGGUGAAAGACCAGGGCUCAACCCUGGAACUGCCAUUGAUACUGAAAAGCUUGAGUAAAGUUGAGGUAGGCGGAAUUGACGGUGUAGCGGUGAAAUGCUUAGAUAUCGUCAAGAACCCCGAUUGCGUAGGCAGCUUACUAAGCUUUAACUGACGCUGAGGCACGAAAGUGUGGGGAUCAAACAGG
rnacentral:rRNA from 1 species